UGAGGCGUGAUGACGAGGCACUACGGUGCUGAAGCAACAAAUGCCCUGCUUCCAGGAAAAGCCUCUAAGCAUCAGGUAACAUCAAAUCGUACCCCAAACCGACACAGGUGGUCAGGUAGAGAAUACCAAGGCGCUUGAGAGAACUCGGGUGAAGGAACUAGGCAAAAUGGUGCCGUAACUUCGGGAGAAGGCACGCUGACACGUAGGUGAAGUGAUUUACUCACGGAGCUGAAGUCAGUCGAAGAUACCAGCUGGCUGCAACUGUUUAUUAAAAACACAGCACUGUGCAAACACGAAAGUGGACGUAUACGGUGUGACGCCUGCCCGGUGCCGGAAGGUUAAUUGAUGGGGUCAGCGCAAGCGAAGCUCCUGAUCGAAGCCCCGGUAAACGGCGGCCGUAACUAUAACGGUCCUAAGGUAGCGAAAUUCCUUGUCGGGUAAGUUCCGACCUGCACGAAUGGCGUAAUGAUGGCCAGGCUGUCUCCACCCGAGACUCAGUGAAAUUGAACUCGCUGUGAAGAUGCAGUGUACCCGCGGCAAGACGGAAAGACCCCGUGAACCUUUACUAUAGCUUGACACUGAACAUUGAGCCUUGAUGUGUAGGAUAGGUGGGAGGCUUUGAAGUGUGGACGCCAGUCUGCAUGGAGCCGACCUUGAAAUACCACCCUUUAAUGUUUGAUGUUCUAACGUGGACCCGUGAUCCGGGUUGCGGACAGUGUCUGGUGGGUAGUUUGACUGGGGCGGUCUCCUCCUAAAGAGUAACGGAGGAGCACGAAGGUUGGCUAAUCCUGGUCGGACAUCAGGAGGUUAGUGCAAUGGCAUAAGCCAGCUUGACUGCGAGCGUGACGGCGCGAGCAGGUGCGAAAGCAGGUCAUAGUGAUCCGGUGGUUCUGAAUGGAAGGGCCAUCGCUCAACGGAUAAAAGGUACUCCGGGGAUAACAGGCUGAUACCGCCCAAGAGUUCAUAUCGACGGCGGUGUUUGGCACCUCGAUGUCGGCUCAUCACAUCCUGGGGCUGAAGUAGGUCCCAAGGGUAUGGCUGUUCGCCAUUUAAAGUGGUACGCGAGCUGGGUUUAGAACGUCGUGAGACAGUUCGGUCCCUAUCUGCCGUGGGCGCUGGAGAACUGAGGGGGGCUGCUCCUAGUACGAGAGGACCGGAGUGGACGCAUCACUGGUGUUCGGGUUGUCAUGCCAAUGGCACUGCCCGGUAGCUAAAUGCGGAAGAGAUAAGUGCUGAAAGCAUCUAAGCACGAAACUUGCCCCGAGAUGAGUUCUCCCUGAGACUUAGGUCUCCUGAAGGAACGUUGAAGACGACGACGUUGAUAGGCCGGGUGUGUAAGCGCAGCGAUGCGUUGAGCUAACCGGUACUAAUGAACCGUGAGGCUUAACCUUACAACGCCGAAG
rnacentral:rRNA from 1 species